GCGAGGCCUGGGAGCGGGGCGGUGGGGAGACGAGGCCCGGUUCUCUGUCUCCGGUGGGAGCGGGUUCUCGGGGGGCCCAGGGCCGGGGAGGGUCCCCGGGUUUCUGGCCACUCGCCAUCUCGCAGGGGCUCUGCCAGCCGCCGAGGAAGCGGAUUGGUGGCUGCGGGUCCCCUGGGGCCUGCCUUUGUUGGGACUCAGACCCAGAGAUGGGCCCGGCUCCUGGGCUGCGGGGUGGGUGCCGGGGCUGGCGGGGAGGAUCUGAGGGAGAGCCUCCACAGACUAAAUGGUUUAAAUGAAAGAGUAAGUCAUGGCGGCAGAGCUUGGGACCAAGCGGCCGGGAGGAGUCUGUGCCCCUGGCCCCCUCUUCUGCCAUUUGCUACCCGCAGAGGAGGACACUGGGGAGGAGGGAAGUCCUCGGGAGUCCCUGACCAAGGAGGGCAGGAGCCGUUCUCCGCAGCUCAGAACAAAAGGGAUCUCUAACAGCCUGGGGACAGGGUGGCCUCCCAAGGCCCAGGGGAUCUGGGCUCCCAUUUUAUAUCCUUCACCUCAUUUCCUCACCACAACCCCUUGAGGUAGGACCGCACUGAUCCCCGUUUCACAGGAGAGGAAGCCACGGCGAGAAGCGAGAGUGGACUCGUUCUGCUUGUGAACAAAGUGUGCUGAGUGCCAGCGUGCCGAGUUAGGCUGGCGGCAGCCUCCUGCGUCUGGCGCUCACCGCGCCCGGUCCUCCUGCGCCGGCUGCAGCCCAGGAGCAGCGGGGCCCACAGAGCGCAGCGUGAGCGGCUGGGCCCUGGGGGUGUGAGGGCUCCGUGUGCCGUUCCCACAAUGGCCCACGCCCUCCUCACACUGUAUCCCUGUCGGAGCUGGAGAGAGGGGUCUGGAAAGGCAGGGCACCCCGUUGGGGCCAGGCAUUCUCCAGGCCAAUCUGUGCGCUCUGUCCCGAGGGAGGAAAGGGCGCUCUGACUACAUGGCGCGGCGGCACGAAGGAGACUCUCCUGCAGGGGCGCCCCUGGAAGGAAGGAUGGCCUCCCGCACCACGUAUUUCAUGUAAACCCACCGCCUGGUCUCCGUGGCCACACCUCCCCAGCCUCGCGCCUGCCCCCUCCACACAGGCCUGGUGUGGGGAGCAGCGGGUGCUGGAGGCCCAGGCGGCUGUGGGAGCAGUGGGUGCUGGAGGCGGACCCUGGUCCUCACCCCGCUCCAUCUCACUGCCUCUCGCAGACGGCCUCCUCUUUCGAAAGGGGAUAAGCCUUGGCUCGCAAGAAGCAGGAGGGUUAAGUGAAUUGAUGCACAAUUCUGAGCUGACCCACUCUCUGCCUCACUCUGUCAGAGCGCACAGCCCUGCCUGCUGAGCCGGGGCGGGAGUCUGGCCCACGUGCUGGGUAAGCUGGGCGGACCGGGGCCACCACCAGAGGCCUCCUCCUCCGCGCGGCAGAGGGGACGCUCAGGGCAGGCGCACAGGCCAAGCAGGUGAGGCUGAUGAGCCACCUCCCAGACCAGCCUGUCUGACCACAGGCACGGAGGCGGCAGGCGCCGCACAGGACAGGGUGGGGUCCCCUUCCUGGGGAGGGCCACGCCCACAAGGUGUAUGGGGGCUGCUUUCCAGGACUGUGGUCCUCAGAGGGGGGCCAAGAGCCGGCUCCGAGGACCGGGGAGUUCCCGUCUGCCUCUGAGAGUCUGGGGUUCCAGGGUCAGUCACUCCUCUGCUCAAGAACCUCGAGAGGCUCCCAAGGCUUCUCAGACCCCAUCCCACCCCCUGGCGCCUCCUCGCUACCGUGUUCUCGAAGGCGCAGAACCAAGUCCUUCACGUUCCUUCCUCAACACUCUCCUGCUCCCUGUGGUCAGUUCCAACACCCUUGGCUGCUGGCCGCCCGCCGGCCCUCGGGGCCUUGCUCUCCCUCUCCCCCUGCUCACAGCCCUGGCCACGCCGCGCCCCGGCCUGGGGGUGCCCUCCUCGACACCCCCUUAGCCAGUAAGUCUGCAGGCCUGUUGGGACCCUGCUGAGUCUGCUCACCUCUCGUCCCCCUGCCCAGGCCGCGGCAGCCCUGCUGCUGCUUCCCGCGCCCCCGCAGUGGCCGCCCCGCGUCCAGCCCUGCCCUUCUCCCACCCGCUCCUCAAGCGCCCGCUCGCCGUCAGAGUGCCUCCAUGGCCCUCACUAGCCAAGACAGGGCUGUUUGCUUUUUCAUGUGUGAAAAUUCCAGAAUUUUUAUAUUUUUGAAAAGUCAAAAUAACUAUAGAAACCAUAUGUAAUUGGGUAAAUAAAAUAAGCACAUAUUAAGUGUGUGUACAUAUGAAAUACUAAUAAAAUAUAUGUAUCCUGUUGUAACCAAA